ensembl:lncRNA
GGACACUGGGCUGGUUAUGUUACGCAGAUCUGGCAACCCUGGUAUAGCAUCAAUUUCUUGGUUGUAUUCAUUCAGUCGACUAAAAAUUUAAUGUUCUCUCAACAGUUUUAAUUGUGUGAACUAUUUACCAUUCAAAGCGAUUUUUUUUUUUUUUUAAAUCAGUGAACUACCUUUUAUGUUUAUGCAUUUGGAAGACACUUCCAUCCAAAGUGACUUGCAUUGCAUUCAAAGUGUCGAAAUCGAACCCCCGACCUUGGCGUUGCAAGCGCUGUGCUCCACAUUCUGACCUACAGGAAUAAAGCAUGAUCACUUGCUCUAAUAACUAAUUUUUAAAGGUAAGGGCUUUCACAAACGCACCAGCAAUGAAACAGCAGGUGUUACAAAAUCAUUUUAACUUUGUCUGAAUUCAGAAAGUAACCCGAGUGCACUUUGAUUCCUUGUUGACUUUAAAAACAGCCGUAAGUGAACUUCAGCGCACGUCUCUCUCUGUCUCUCGUCCAAAGCGCCUCUCUCGCUGUAACUAAGCGCGCAUCUGUUUCGUGUGCGCGCCGCGGGGCCGCUCUCCUCGCCUUGGAGCGCGCGUUGUCCCCGCGCGUCUCGCACAGUUAGAGGUGAUUUGCAGUGACGCGUGCUUGGAGUGCACCUUCCCAGUUCACUGUCAGCUCAAUGCGACCUGGCAGGUCCAGGGGAACACGCUGUCAGUCGCCUGAAAGCGCGGCUCUCUUUGCCUGGACCGCAAUGUCGCGAGAGCGCCGCGGAGGUGAGCGACACUCGCGCGUCUGAUGUCGCUACAAGAUGUGCUUUGGAUAUGCAAAUGACAGCACACGGUAACACAGCCUUCAGGAUAUCAGGAGCGGUGACCUCCACACGACCCCACAGCUCCAGCUACCACAUGUGAAGUUACUACCACGGGAAUCACAUCAGACCAACACAACCCAGAUGAUACGGUCCUGGACACACAUAUGAAGUGUGUUGGAAGUAACACAAGUAAUGCGAUCAGAUUACUUUUCCAGUACCUACUAAAGCAACAUAUUACUUUUUAAUUUAGAAGGAAAUAUCUAAGUUACUUUUUCAAAUAAGUAACACCAGUUAUUUUGUUUCCCUUGUAUUAAGUGACAGCUCUUGUGUUGCCAUGUUGAGAGAAAUCUGGAGUAAGUGCAGAGUGUUGUGUGUGAACAUGAUCUUACUGUAGUUCAUGUGUCAACAUGCAUUUAUUCAUCUCGCCCGCACAAAAACGCAUUCAGUAUUCCUCAAAAUGAAUACAAAUGAUGCAAGCCUGCAAUAAUUAAAUAGAUGUAGAAGUAUUUAUUCACACACUGCUGCUGACCUUCAA